AGAUAGAAACCGACCUGGCUCACGCCGGUUUAAACUCAGAUCAUGUAAAAUUUUAAGGGUCGAACAGACCCAAUUUAUUAGCUGCUACACCAAUAAUUUUCUUUAAUCCAACAUCGAGGUCGCAAUCUUUUUUUUCGAUAAGAACUCUAAAAAAAAUUACGCUGUUAUCCCUGAGGUAAUUCUCUCUUGUAAUCUUAACCUAAGGAUCACAUAUUCACAAAUAAAUGUUUAAAUAAAAAAAAAGUUUGCCUAAUUUUUUGAUCGCCCCAACCAAAUACUACCUAUAACAAACAAGAACAAAUACCAAAUACUCACUUAUUAUAGCAAAUAUAAAACUCUACAGGGUCUUCUCGUCUUCUAUACACAUUUGAGCCUUUUUACUCAAAAAUAAAUUUCUAACAAAUUCAGACAGAGACAGUAAUUUUUUCAUCAAACCUUUCAUUCAAGCUUCCAAUUAAAAAACUAGUGAUUAUGCUACCUUUGCACGGUCAAGCUACCGCGGCCAUUUAACUCUACAUCAUUGGGCAGGCCCGACCUAAAAUUAUUAUCAAUAGGCC
rnacentral:rRNA from 1 species